UCGAUGAAGAACGCAGCGAAAUGCGAUAAGUAAUGUGAAUUGCAGAAUUCAGUGAAUCAUCGAAUCUUUGAACGCACCUUGCGCCCCUUGGCUAUUCCGAGGGGCAUGCCUGUUUGAGUAUCAUGAACACCUCAACUCUCAUGGUUUGCCAUGAUGAGUUGGACUCUGGGGGUUUUGCUGGCCUGUCGGGUCGGCUCCUCUCAAAUUAAUCAGCCUCCCAGUGUUUGGUGGCAUCACGGGUGUGAUAAAUAUCUACGCUCGCUGUUGUCUGCCAGGUAACCUUUGGUCACAAAGGUUUGCUGGAGCUCACAGAUGUCUCUCCUCAGCGAGGACAGCUUUUUAACGUUCGAUCUCAAAUCAGGUAGGACUACCCGCUGAACUUAA
rnacentral:rRNA from 1 species